UGGCGCCUGCGGCGGACCCGGCACGGCUUAUGAUGGACUUCGCAGGCAGCCAAGCCGUGUACGGUCUGGUACACCCCGGAAUCCUCCGGGCUUUAAUGCUUUCU
ncrna:unclassified sequences RT-5 RNA